GACUUUUUCAUUCCCCCCUUCCCCCGAAAUCCCAAAAUUUGACAAGAAAUCUUUCUUUUUUUCCCUCCUUUCUUUUCCCAAAAUUGGUUCCCUCCCCCAUCCCUAAAAAAAUCCUAAAAUUUCACUUGAAAUUUCUUCUCUUUUUUUCCCCAUUUUAUUUUUCCCGAGCCAUUUCUCCCCUACCCCGAUUCCCUUUAUUUUUUCCCCCAAUUUCCUCAAAUCGGCAGCCCUCUGCAUCUCCGUCGGUAGCCCGCUGCUGUAUCUCUGUCGACAUCUGCUGUCGUCCUUGGUUUUGGAUAAUGAGAAAAGUGAGCUGGUGGUGAAGUCGCCGGUGAAGGUUGGAAAGAAAAGCGUGGCGGAAGAGAAAGUUAUAGCGGCUUUAAAGAGUCAUAGCGAAGCUGAGAGGAGGAGGAGAGAAAGGAUUAAUGCUCACCUGGACACCCUCCGUACUCUCUUGCCAUAUAGAGAAAAGAGAAAGAGAAAUGGCUGAAAGUAAUGAAAUCAACCUCAACGAGUGCAAGCUAUUGGUUUCAAUUAGAUGAGGCUAACAUAUCCAUCACCAGUGUAUAGAGGUAUCUUUGCCACGUUCCUUGCAGGUUCAAGACAGGUUUCAGGAAAGGUACUGAAGCAGCACCAAGAAAGAAGGUUGCAGCAGUUUCUGCUUAAAAGGCAAAUUGUAAUGGUAUGAGGUUUUGUUUUGGAUGAAGCCAUGUUUAUGAGGAAACAUUUAGUGAUGAAGAGUGAACUUAUGUUCUAUUGGAUGCUUUAGUUGUUAUUUAGUUUCUAUUUGAAUGUAGUUGUCUUAUAUUUUGAACAAUUAUUGGAGCCAAUGUUUGACCCUUAA